rnacentral:rRNA from 1 species
UACGUAGGGUGCGAGCGUUAAUCGGAAUUAUUGGGCGUAAAGAGCUCGUAGGCGGUGUGUCACGUCGGCCGUGAAAACCUGCAGCUUAACUGUGGGCGUGCGGUCGAUACGGGCAUCACUGGAGUUCGGCAGGGGAGACUGGAAUUCCUGGUGUAGCGGUGAAAUGCGCAGAUAUCAGGAGGAACACCGGUGGCGAAGGCGGGUCUCUGGGCCGAUACUGACGCUGAGGAGCGGAAGCGUGGGGAGCAAACAGG